rnacentral:rRNA from 1 species
UACAGAGGUCCCAAGCGUUGUUCGGAUUCACUGGGCGUAAAGGGUGCGUAGGUGGUGAGGUAAGUCGGAUGUGAAAUCUCGGAGCUUAACUCCGAAAUGGCAUUGGAAACUACCUUGCUCGAGGGUUGGAGGGGGGACUGGAAUACUUGGUGUAGCAGUGAAAUGCGUAGAUAUCAAGUGGAACACCAGUGGCGAAGGCGGUGGUCUGGGCCGGAACUGACGCUGAGGAGCGAAAGCGUGGGGAGCGAACAGG